UACAGAGGUGGCAAGCGUUGUUCGGAAUUACUGGGCGUAAAGGGCGCGUAGGCGGCUUGGUCAGUCCCGUGUGAAAUCCCUCGGCUCAACUGAGGAACUGCACGGGAAACUGCCUGGCUUGAGUUCGGGAGAGGGAAGCGGAAUUCCGGGUGUAGCGGUGAAAUGCGUAGAUAUCCGGAGGAACACCGGUGGCGAAGGCGGUUCUCUGGGAAUGUCCUGACGCUGAGGAGCGAAAGUGUGGGGAGCGAACAGG
rnacentral:rRNA from 1 species